GAUGAACGCUGGCGGCGUGCCUAAUACAUGCAAGUCGAGCGAACGGACGAGAAGCUUGCUUCUCUGAUGUUAGCGGCGGACGGGUGAGUAACACGUGGAUAACCUACCUAUAAGACUGGGAUAACUUCGGGAAACCGGAGCUAAUACCGGAUGAUAUUUUGAACCGCAUGGUUCAAAAGUGAAAGACGGUCUUGCUGUCACUUAUAGAUGGAUCCGCGCUGCAUUAGCUAGUUGGUAAGGUAACGGCUUACCAAGGCAACGAUGCAUAGCCGACCUGAGAGGGUGAUCGGCCACACUGGAACUGAGACACGGUCCAGACUCCUACGGGAGGCAGCAGUAGGGAAUCUUCCGCAAUGGGCGAAAGCCUGACGGAGCAACGCCGCGUGAGUGAUGAAGGUCUUCGGAUCGUAAAACUCUGUUAUUAGGGAAGAACAUAUGUGUAAGUAACUGUGCACAUCUUGGCGGUACCUAAUCAGAAAGCCACGGCUAACUACGU
rnacentral:rRNA from 1 species